rnacentral:rRNA from 1 species
GACGAACGCUGGCGGCGUGCUUAACACAUGCAAGUCGAACGGAGAUUAUUAAUGAAGCUUGCGAUUUAAUAAUCUUAGUGGCGGACGGGUGAGUAACGCGUGGGCAACCUACCCAUAAGCGGGGGAUAACAGUUGGAAACGACUGCUAAUACCGCAUAAGCUAUUAAGGUCGCAUGACCUUAAUAGUAAAGGUGGCGAAAGCUAUCACUUAUGGAUGGGCCCGCGUCUGAUUAGCUAGUUGGUGGGGUAGCGGCCUACCAAGGCAACGAUCAGUAGCCGGCCUGAGAGGGUGGACGGCCACACUGGGACUGAGACACGGCCCAGACUCCUACGGGAGGCAGCAGUGGGGAAUAUUGCGCAAUGGGGGAAACCCUGACGCAGCGACGCCGCGUGAGCGAAGAAGGCCUUAGGGUCGUAAAGCUCGUUGUAAGGGACGAAUGUUUAUCUGGCGAAUAGUCAGAUAAAGUGAACGGUACCUUACCAGCAAGCCCCGGCUAACUACGUGCC